UACGUAGGGGGCAAGCGUUAUCCGGAUUUACUGGGUGUAAAGGGAGCGUAGACGGACUUGCAAGUCUGAUGUGAAAAUCCGGGGCCCAACCCCGGAACUGCAUUGGAAACUGUAUAUCUAGAGUGUCGGAGAGGCAAGUGGAAUUCCUGGUGUAGCGGUGAAAUGCGUAGAUAUCAGGAGGAACACCAGUGGCGAAGGCGGAUUGCUGGACAGUAACUGACGCUGAGGCGCGAAAGCGUGGGGAGCAAACAGG
rnacentral:rRNA from 1 species